CUACGGAGGGUGCAAGCGUUAUCCGGAAUCAUUGGGUUUAAAGGGUCCGUAGGCGGACUAAUAAGUCAGGGGUGAAAUCCCACAGCUUAACUGUGGAACUGCCUUUGAUACUGUUAGUCUUGAGUUAUAUGGAAGUAGAUAGAAUGUGUAGUGUAGCGGUGAAAUGCUUAGAGAUUACAUAGAAUACCGAUUGCGAAGGCAGUCUACUACAUAUAUACUGACGCUAAUGGACGAAAGCGUGGGGAGCUAACAGGAUUAGAAACCCUAGUAGUCC
rnacentral:rRNA from 1 species